UAUACCUACUGAGGAAUCAAUUUGGAUUGAUUUAAAUUAUUUCAAAGGUCAAUUUCCUUUUUUUCAACCAUGAGGACAAGGUUGUCCCUUCAAAGGCCAACAAUGAUGGGCAGGGAGAACAAGGCCGUGAGAAAAUGCCUAAAUGGCAGGUUUAUUCUAGAAGAUUUGGCAAAGGUACAGUAGCAACAUGGGAGGAUCGCACCUAGGCAAGAACCGGCUUAUAAAUAAGAGAGAAUUGCAUGAAAUUGGCAUGACCAGCCCUGAUUAUUCUUCUGUUAUUUUUUAUCAGCAUAAAGCGUGGGGGAAAAGCCUGUUGUUGCAGUCAUAGCUGUGGGAAGGGAAUUGAUGAUUUUAUUUUUUUGUUACUGAGAUUCAUUUGUAUCAGAUCUAGUUUAUUAAUAUCAAAUUUCUGUCAAAUGCCUCCAUUUUUACUCCUCCAAUUCUUUAUUGUGAAGUUAUUUGGAUUGAUUGGCUCUAUUAAAGAAGAGCCUCAGGCACGCCCAAGGCUCCAGGUGCACGAGGCUCAGAGGUCAGCUCCUUGACACUCCCCAGGCAAGCGAUGAUUCACAGACACACUCAGGCACACCUUGCACCUAGCCUCACCUCGGCAAUCUAGACACCCUAUUCAGAGUUGGCUGGCUUUUUCCUCACUCCAAAUGCAGAUACAACAACUCCCAAUAAAGAAAAGAAAACAAAGAAGAAGAACAAGAAAGAGGAAGGAGGAGCAGCCCUGAAAAAACAGAGGAGAAAGAACGUGUACUUAACUUUGUGUGCUCCUACAGAUCAAUUACUUUUUAUUCUUCUUCUUCGUCUUCUUCUUCUACUCCUUUCUUUAUUUUUUUUUUCUUUUGGAUUCUUCUUCCCCUCCUCCUCAUGUCUUUCUUUCUUCUUUUAGGUUUUCUAAUCUCUCUUUUCUAUGUUGCUAUGCUGCCCAAUUUCACUUUGAUUGCCGACACUGGAGAUCUCAAACACUCAUGCAUGUUUUAUUUCAUAUUAAAAAUUAAGUAAUUUAUUUUUAAUGUGAUUGUUAAAUUUGGUUCAGGCCUAACUCACCCCAAAAGCUAGCUCAAGGGGGAGGAGUGCCUAUGGCCCAUAUAAGGGGCACAUUACCCCUUUCCACAACCGAUGUGGGAUUCAACACACCCCCUUACGCCUAGAAUUUUCACCGGUGCGUGGCACAUUUAUGGGGCGCCCAACAUCGGAUGCAGAGGCUCUGAUACUAUGUUAAAUUUGGGCAAGGCCUAACUCACCCAAAAGCUAGCUCAAGGAGGAAGAGUGCCCAUGACCCAUAUAAGGGGUACAUUACCCCUUUCCACAUCUGACGUGGAAUUCAACACACCCCUUCACGCCCAGAAUUUUACUGGUGUGCGUGACACAUUUAUCGGAGGCCCAACAUCGAAUGGGGAGGUUCUGAUACCAUAUUAAAUUUAGGUCAGGCCUAACUCACCCCAAAAGCUAGUUCAAGGGGGAGGAGUGCCUAUGGCCCAUAUAAGGGGCACAUUACCCCUUUCCACAACCGAUGUGGGAUUCAACACACCCCCUCACGCCUAGAAUUUUUACUGGUGCGUGGCACAUUUAUGGGGCGCCCAACAUUGGAUGGAGAGGCUCCGAUACCAUAUUAAAUUUGGGCCAGGCCUAACUCACCCAAAAGCUAGUUCAAGGAGGAAGAGUGCCCAUGACCCAUAUAAGGGGCACAUUACCCCUUUCCACAUCCGACGUGGGAUUCAACACACCCCUUCACGCCCAGAAUUUUACUGGUGUGCAUGACACAUUUAUGGGAGGCCCAACAUCGGAUGGGGAGGCUCUGAUACCAUAUUAAAUUUGGGUCAGGCCUAACUCACCCCAAAAGCUAGCUCAAGGGGGAGGAGUGCCUAUGGCCCAUAUAAGGGGCACAUUACCCCUUUCCACAACCGAUGUGGGAUUCAACAGUGAUCAAAGAUUUUAAGUAUUUUGAAUUACUUUUACAACAAUAAAAUCCUUGUUAAUGCCAUUAUAUUAUCAAAUUACAUACUAUUGUAUAAUAUUAAAUUUAUUUAAUUUCUUAUUGCCAUUAAAUUACUUAUUAUCAAAGCUCUCAAAAUCAAAGUCAAUAUAUUCAAGAACUUCCUACACUCUUUUUGGUGGUAAUAAGUUUAAUUCUAUAAUAUCUAGGUAUCUAUCAACAUACCUAGUUAUUUGAUAGUGAAUUGAUUAACGUUAAUGAUGUCUUAGAUUGAUGAAUUUAAUGUCCUUAUUUGAUUUAUACUUAUUAUUUAGUUAUUCUCUUAGUUUUAGUUUUAAUUGUAAUUAUAAUUAUAUUUUUAAAUAUCUAUUUAUUUUAUAAAAUUUUCAAGUUUUUCAACUGUGACCAUCACAUUAUUGUGUCACAGGCCUCUUUCAAUUACACACAACUUGAUACGAAUUCAUGAUAGAGAUACAAG
rnacentral:lncRNA from 1 species